ACCCUCCAGUUCCCUUUCCCAUCGGAUCAAAACAUCGGUCUGGGUGGUCGUAAAAGGCCGAAAAGAAACAUUGAAGCUGCCCGGCAGUGUUCUUGGAGCUCGGGCUAGUUUCAAACGGGG